CAUUAAGUGGCCGAAGAGAAAGCAUUGGUCUUUUAAACCAAAUUAUAGUAAACAUCAAAUACUCUUAAUGA
rnacentral:tRNA from 1 species